rnacentral:rRNA from 1 species
UGAGGAAUCUUCCACAAUGGGCGAAAGCCUGAUGGAGCAACGCCGCGUGCAGGACGAAGGCCUUCGGGUCGUAAACUGCUUUUGUUAGUGAAGAAUAUGACGGUAACUAACGAAUAAGGAUCGGCUAACUACGUGCCAGCAGCCGCGGUCAUACGUAGGAUCCGAGCGUUAUCCGGAGUGACUGGGCGUAAAGAGUUGCGUAGGUGGUUUGUAAAGCGAAUGGUGAAAGCUGGCGGCUCAACCGGACGG